ACUAGAAGGGAAAACAGACAUCAAAGGCUUCUUUCGAUUCUGCAUCGAUGACAAAUGCAACUCUACAUUCUUCAGUUGUCUUAUAUGACCAUACAUGGUGAACAAUGAUUCUGCCAUGAUUGGCUGUAUGUGAACAAGAGAGUAUAAAUAAGAAGGAAAAGAAGUUGUCCGAGACAGAUCCUUUCUCUUGGACAGAGACUUCACAUCACCUGUUUACGCAGAAUUUACAGAGCAACAUCACAGACGCCGCCUGAACCGAUUCAGAAGCAGCUAUAGAACCAGAGUAUCCGCCAUCCCGCCGAGUAAACCAGGGCAUCACAACACCAAGAUAAAUACAAGAUGGAUGCUCGUCCUUUUGAAUACACUGAAGGAUGUACUGAUGGAAAAAAGGAAAAGAUCAGAGAGAAAACACUGUGUAACAAUAAAAACACUCUCUAUUAUAGUAAUAGAAGAAAUUGUAACAAAAUCAACCUCAUGUUCAUGAGCACACAUGUAAGAGAAUGGCUGGAUGUAAUGAAGGAGACAUAUCCUGAACUUAAGGAAAUUCAUGACGACAAUCAAAUCAGACUCAAGUCCAAGCACGGUACCAUAUCUUUAUAUCAUAAUGGAAAGGUUGUGGUCGAGGGCCAACUGAUGAGGACGUUUGAGGAAAGGUUUCAAGAAAUGAAACAAAUGGUCGAGCCACGCAUCUUACCUGAAGAACGUCCUGAUGAGCCAGAAGUUGAGGGCACUCUCCCCACACCACCCACACCACCCAGUCCAACCCCCCCCAACUGAUGAGAAAUAGUCUGUGCAGGUUAUGGAGGAUGUAAAGAGCAGUCUUGUACUCACUGAGCAAGUGGUAGUUUGAGUCUCUCUCAUAUUUGAAGGUCAGUCUUCCAUAGCUGACGUGGUUGAGAUUCUUCAGCCACUCAAAAUAAGACACAGUCACACCGCCAGCAUUCAGGUACAUGUCCUGCAGGACCAAACAUCACAUACUCAGACAUCUGUCUUCAUUCCUCUGUGUGUAAAAUUAUUUUGAUUAAAUUUCCUCUGUACUGCAAAAAUAUUUUUAAGAUUUGAUUUGGGAAGAAAAUGAUUUUUCGGUAAAAUAAAGACACUGGAAUGAAAUG